rnacentral:rRNA from 1 species
AACGAACGCUGGCGGUAGGCCUAACACAUGCAAGUCGAGCGGACCCUUCGGGGUUAGGCGGCGGACGGGUGAGUAACGCGUGGGAAUAUGCCCUUCUCUACGGAAUAGUCUCGGGAAACUGGGGGUAAUACCGUAUACGCCCUUUGGGGGAAAGAUUUAUCGGAGAAGGAUUAGCCCGCGUUGGAUUAGGUAGUUGGUGGGGUAAUGGCCUACCAAGCCGACGAUCCAUAGCUGGUUUGAGAGG